rnacentral:lncRNA from 1 species
AAGCAAAGCCAGGGUUGAUGAAACUGCUAAGAGAUUAAAGUUCAAAAGAACUCAAGGUCCUGGGGCCCCAGGAACUGCCCAGGCCCAUGUCCAACAGGAGGUCUUCAGAGUCGGUGAAUGCUGAGCUGAGAGCGAACUUUUAGAGAUGUCACCACAUUGUGACAAAGCUGUUUCUGGUAGAUUUAUGAACCAGUUACAGUAUUUUGUCAUUACAGAUCUUUUUGUGGGUUGCUUUUUGGUCCUCAAACCAAACCUCUCCAUUUGGACCAAAUGGAGAAGUGACUCUGGGCUCUGCCAAGCUACAGGCCUUCUAUGGGUCAUGAAUGCCAGCUGAGGUGACAGGACCUCCUGGGACUGAAGGCACGGGGACCUCCUGGGACUGAACGGACCAGGGCAUCAGAGGAGAAUUUCCAAAACAGGGCCACCUCUCACAUACCAUCAUGCCAUACUGCUGGAAGUGACCCCAGGGUGAAGAAACAACCCAGAUUACAAGCCACCCUGUGCCAUGACUUGGUGGUUGACAAGAAACUUAAGUGACAUCUCACUGCACAAAUUCGGAAGGCUACUGCAGCCCAAAAUUCUUGAGUGGGCAGAGAUGAAUUUCUUUUAAAUGAGU